rnacentral:rRNA from 1 species
UACGGAGGGUGCAAGCGUUAUCCGGAUUCACUGGGUUUAAAGGGUGUGUAGGCGGGGAUUUAAGUCAGUGGGGAAAUCUCCAGGCUCAACCUGGAAACUGCCAUUGAUACUAUUUAUCUUGAAUAUUGUUGAGGUAGGCGGAAUAUAUCAUGUAGCGGUGAAAUGCUUAGAUAUGAUAUAGAACACCGAUUGCGAAGGCAGCUUACUAAACAAUCAUUGACGCUGAGGCACGGAAGCGUGGGGAUCAAACAGG